ACGAACGCUGGCGGCGUGCCUAACACAUGCAAGUCGAGCGGAGCCAAUUGACUGAACCCUUCGGGGGGGAAGACAAGGAAGCUUAGCGGCGGACGGGUGAGUAACGCGUGAGUAACCUGCCCAUAAGUGGGGGAUAACACAUUGAAAAGUGUGCUAAUACCGCAUAUUGAUAUAAAGGGACAUCCCUAAAUAUUGAAAGAUUUAUUGCUUAUGGAUGGACUCGCGUCUGAUUAGAUAGUUGGUGGGGUAACGGCCCACCAAGUCGACGAUCAGUAGCCGAACUGAGAGGUUGAUCGGCCACAUUGGGACUGAGACACGGCCCAGACUCCUACGGGAGGCAGCAGUGGGGGAUAUUGCGCAAUGGGGGAAACCCUGACGCAGCAACGCCGCGUGAAGGAAGACGGCCUUCGGGUUGUAAACUUCUGUCGCAAGGGAAGAAGACAGUGACGGUACCUUGUGAGAAAGCCACGGCUAACUACGUG
rnacentral:rRNA from 1 species